UACAGAGGUCUCAAGCGUUGUUCGGAUUCAUUGGGCGUAAAGGGUGCGUAGGCGGCGCGGUAAGUCGGGUGUGAAAUCUCGGAGCUUAACUCCGAAACUGCAUUCGAUACUGCCGUGCUCGAGGACUGGAGAGGAGACUGGAAUUUACGGUGUAGCGGUGAAAUGCGUAGAUAUCGUAAGGAAGACCAGUGGCGAAGGCGGGUCUCUGGACAGUUCCUGACGCUGAGGCACGAAGGUCAGGGGGAGCAAAACGGGG
rnacentral:rRNA from 1 species